rnacentral:rRNA from 1 species
GACGAACGCUGGCGGCGUGCUUAACACAUGCAAGUCGAACGGUGAAGGGACCGGUUUUUGCUGGUUCUGGAUGAGUGGCGAACGGGUGAGUAACACGUGAGUAACCUGCCCCCUUCUUCUGGAUAACCGCAUGAAAGUGUGGCUAAUACGGGAUAUUCUGCGCCUGCUGCAUGGUGGGUGUGGGAAAGAUAUUGUUUCGGUGGGGGAUGGGCUCGCGGCCUAUCAGCUUGUUGGUGGGGUGAUGGCCUACCAAGGCGGUGACGGGUAGCCGGCCUGAGAGGGUGGACGGUCACACUGGGACUGAGACACGGCCCAGACUCCUACGGGAGGCAGCAGUGGGGAAUAUUGCACAGUGGGCGCAAGCCUGAUGCAGCGACGCCGCGUGAGGGAUGGAAGCCUUCUGGUUGUAAACCUCUUUCGCCAGUGAAGCAGGCCUGUCCCUUUUGUGGGUGGGUUGACGGUAGCUGGAUAAGAAGCGCCGGCUAACUACGUG